AUACGGAGGGUGCAAGCGUUGUCCGGAUUUAUUGGGUUUAAAGGGUGCGUAGGCGGCCCGUUAAGUCAGUGGUGAAAGGUAUCAGCUCAACUGAUGAAGUGCCAUUGAAACUAACGGGCUUGAGUACAGACGAGGUAGGCGGAAUUUAUGGUGUAGCGGUGAAAUGCAUAGAUACCAUAAAGAACACCGAUAGCGAAGGCAGCUUACUAGACUGUCACUGACGCUGAGGCACGAAAGCGUGGGGAGCAAACAGGAUUAGAAACCCCAGUAGUCC
rnacentral:rRNA from 1 species